rnacentral:rRNA from 2 species
UCAUAUGCUUGUCUCAAAGAUUAAGCCAUGCAUGUCUAAGUACGUGCCUAAGAAAGGUGAAACCGCGAAUGGGUCAUUAAAUCAGUUAUGGUUCCUUAGAUCGUACCUUACUACUUGGAUAACUGUGGUAAUUCUAGAGCUAAUACAUGCAGCAGAGCUCCGACCUUCGGGGACGAGCGCUUUUAUUAGACCAAGACCAAUCGGACUUCGGUCCGAAGCUCAUGGUGACUCUGGAUAACUUUGGGCUGAUCGCACGGUCUCGUACCGGCGACGCAUCUUUCAAGUGUCUGCCUUAUCAACUUUCGAUGGUAGGUUAUGCGCCUACCAUGGUCGUAACGGGUAACGGGGAAUCAGGGUUCGAUUCCGGAGAGGGAGCCUGAGAAACGGCUACCACAUCCAAGGAAGGCAGCAGGCGCGCAAAUUACCCACUCCCGGCACGGGGAGGUAGUGACGAAAAAUAACAAUACGGGACUCUAUUGAGGCCCCGUAAUUGGAAUGAGUACACUCUAAAUCCUUUAACGAGGAUCUAUUGGAGGGCAAGUCUGGUGCCAGCAGCCGCGGUAAUUCCAGCUCCAAUAGCGUAUAUUAAAGUUGUUGCGGUUAAAAAGCUCGUAGUUGGAUCUCAGUUCCAGACGGGUGGUCCACCCCUGGUGGUUACUGCCUGGCCUGAACAAAUCCAGCCGGUUUUCCUUGAUGCUCUUCACCGAGUGUCUUGGGUGACCGGCACGUUUACUUUGAAAAAAUUAGAGUGCUCAAAGCAGGCGUGACGCCUGAAUAAUGGUGCAUGGAAUAAUGGAAUAGGACCUCGGUUCUAUUUUGUUGGUUUUCGGAACACGAGGUAAUGAUUAAGAGGGACAGACNGGGGCAUUCGUAUUGCGACGCUAGAGGUGAAAUUCUUGGACCGUCGCAAGACGAACUACU